rnacentral:rRNA from 1 species
CAGCCGCCGCGGGAAUACGUAGGGUGCAAGCGUUAAUCGGAAUUACUGGGCGUAAAGCGUGCGCAGGCGGUUAUAUAAGACAGAUGUGAAAUCCCCGGGCUCAACCUGGGAACUGCAUUUGUGACUGUAUAGCUAGAGUACGGCAGAGGGGGAUGGAAUUCCGCGUGUAGCAGUGAAAUGCGUAGAUAUGCGGAGGAACACCGAUGGCGAAGGCAAUCCCCUGGGCCUGUACUGACGCUCAUGCACGAAAGCGUGGGGAGCAAACAGGAUUAGAGACCCGUGUAGUCCCUGUCUCUUAUAU